UACGGAGGAUGCGAGCGUUAUCCGGAUUUAUUGGGUUUAAAGGGUGCGUAGGCGGGCUUUUAAGUCAGCGGUAAAAAUUCGGGGCUCAACCCCGUCCGGCCGUUGAAACUGGGGGCCUUGAGUGGGCGAGAAGAAGGCGGAAUGCGUGGUGCAGCGGUGAAAUGCAUAGAUAUCACGCAGAACCCCGAUUGCGAAGGCAGCCUUCCGGCGCCCUACUGACGCUGAGGCACGAAAGUGCGGGGAUCGAACAGG
rnacentral:rRNA from 1 species